CAGUUCCAGGGAGAGCGGCGGGGCCUUGAGCGUGACUCACCGGCUCCGCGCUGCUUCCCCGGCGCUGCCUGCCCGCGCCGCCCGAGCAGCCAUGUCCGAGGAGAAGCCCAAGGAGGGCGUGAAGACGGAGAACGACCACAUCAACCCGAAGGUGGCCGGGCAGGACGGCUCCGUGGUGCAGUUCAAAAUCAAGAGGCACACGCCGCUGAGCAAGCUGAUGAAGGCCUACUGCGAGAGGCAGGGCUUGUCAAUGAGACAGGUUAGAUUCAGGUUUGACGGGCAGCCAAUUAAUGAAACCGACACUCCAGCACAGCUGGAGAUGGAAGACGAGGACACCAUCGAUGAGUUCUACCAGCAGACAGGAGGUGCGCCGGAGAGCAGCCUGGCGGGGCAUGGUUUCUAGAGGGCCGUCCCCAGCCUGGGCCGUCCGUCCUUGCAUUGCUGUUGAAUGGUGACCAUGCCGACCACAAAGUCGUCUGUGGAAACUCAAGGACAUUCACCACAGUUAUUUUCCUCUCCUUGAUGUACUUCAAGUGCAACUCAAAACUCUAUCUGCAGGGAUGAAUCUGUAACUUAAAUUGGGCCAAUCAGAAUUGUUAUCUUUGUUCAGUUACAUUGUUGUGUAAAAGAGCUACUUCCAAGUGUGGUUACAAAUGAACCCAUGGAAUGAUGACUUCACGUUCUUCUCGUGAGUGUGCUGUGCUGCUUUCCAAAUAUGUAUUAAAUUUAUGCAUUAGUCUGGUGAUUUCAGUUCUGUGAAAUAUUUUGGGAUCUAUACCAAUUAAACAUUUUCAUAGUUAAAAAAAAAAAA